rnacentral:rRNA from 1 species
GGAGUUGCUAGUAAUCGUAGAUCAGCAACGCUACGGUGAAUACGUUCCCGGGGCUUGUACACACCGCCCGUCACGUCACGAAAGUCGGUAACACCCAAAGUUAGUGGCCCAACCGCAAGGGGGGAGCUACCUAAGGUGGGAUCGGUGAUUGGGACGAAGUCGUAACAAGGUAGCCGUACCGGAAGGUGCGGCUGGAUCACCUCCUUUCUAAGGAG